rnacentral:tRNA from 1 species
GCCCAGGUGGUGCAAUGGUUAAGCGCUCGGCUGCUAACCCAUAGGUUGGUGGUUCGAACCCACCCUGUGGCU